AAGGUAACAGAUCUCAGUGUUCCCCAGUGGAAACCUGUUUAUAGGUAACAGAUCUCAGUGUUCCCCCAGUGGAAACCUGUUUAAAGGUAACAGAUCUCAGUGUUCCCCAGUGGAAACCUGUUUAAAGGUAACAGAUCUCAGUGUUCCCCAGUGGAAACCAGUUUAAAGGUAACAGAUCUCAGUGUUCCCCAGUGGAAACCAGUUUAAAGGUAACAGAUCUCAGUGUUCCCCAGUGGAAACCUGUUUAAAGGUAACAGAUCUCAGUGUUCCCCAGUGGAAACCAGUUUAAAGGUAACAGAUCUCAGUGUUCCCCAGUGGAAACCAGUUUAAAGGUAACAGAUCUCAGUGUUCCCUAGUGGAAACCAGUUUAAAGGUAACAGAUCUCAGUGUUCCCCAGUGGAAACCAGUUUAAAGGUAACAGAUCUCAGUGUUCCCCAGUGGAAACCUAUUUAAAGGUAACAGAUCUCAGUGUUCCCUAGUGGAAACCAGUUUAAAGGUAACAGAUCUCAGUGUUCCCUAGUGGAAACCAGUUUAAAGGUAACAGAUCUCAGUGUUCCCUAGUGGAAACCAGUUUAAAGGUAACAGAUCUCAGUGUUCCCUAGUGGAAACCAGUUUAAAGGUAACAGAUCUCAGUGUUCCCCAGUGGAAACCAGUUUAAAGGUAACAGAUCUCAGUGUUCCCCAGUGGAAACCAGUUUAAAGGUAACAGAUCUCAGUGUUCCCCAGUGGAAACCUGUUUAAAGGUAACAGAUCUCAGUGUUCCCCAGUGGAAACCAGUUUAAAGGUAACAGAUCUCAGUGUUCCCUAGUGGAAACCAGUUUAAAGGUAACAGAUCUCAGUGUUCCCCAGUGGAAACCAGUUUAAUAACAGAUCUCAGUGUUCCCCAGUGGAAACCAGUUUAAAGGUAACAGAUCUCAGUGUUCCCCAGUGGAAACCUGUUUAAUAACAGAUCUCAGUGUUCCCCAGUGGAAACCUGUUUAAAGGUAACAGAUCUCAGUGUUCCCCAGUGGAAACCUGUUUAAAGGUAACAGAUCUCAGUGUUCCCCAGUGGAAACCUGUUUAAAGGUAACAGAUCUCAGUGUUCCCCAGUGGAAACUAGUUUAAUAACAGAUCUCAGUGUUCCCCAGUGGAAACCAGUUUAAAGGUAACAGAUCUCAGUGUUCCCCAGUGGAAACCAGUUUAAAGGUAACAGAUCUCAGUGUUCCCCAGUGGAAACCAGUUUAAAGGUAACAGAUCUCAGUGUUCCCCUAGUGUCUGGUUACCACGUCAUCUCUGACAUGGAUAGAUGUCGAAUACUGACUUGUAUCAUGGGUGACCUGGCUAUGUGUGUGUGUGUGUGUGUGUGUGUGUGUGUGUGUGUGUGUGUGUGUGUGUGUGUGUGUGUGUGUGU